rnacentral:sRNA from 1 species
UCACUGACAAGUUGCCUGACACGUUGCUC